CCUACGGGUGGCAGCAGUGAGGAAUAUUGGUCAAUGGAAGCAAUCCUGAACCAGCCAUGCCGCGUGCAGGACGACGGCUCUACGAGUUGUAAACUGCUUUUGUACGGGGGUAAACUGCUCUACGUGUAGGGUUUUGAAAGUACGGUACGAAUAAGGAUCGGCUAACUCCGUGCCAGCAGCCGCGGUAAUACGGAGGGUCCGAGCGUUAUCCGGAUUUAUUGGGUUUAAAGGGUGCGUAGGCUGGUUUAUAAGUUAGUGGUGAAAUGCCGAUGCUCAACAUUGGGGCUGCAGCUGAUACUGUAGGACUAGAGAUCGGCUGCAGCAGGCGGAAUGUGUAGUGUAGCGGUGAAAUGCAUAGAUAUUACGCAGAACACCGAUUGCGAAGGCAGCUUGCUAGGCCGGAUCUGACGCUGAUGCACGAAAGCGUGGGGAUCGAACAGGAUUAGAUACCCUAGUAGUC
rnacentral:rRNA from 1 species